rnacentral:rRNA from 1 species
AGAGUUUGAUUCUGGCUCAGAACGAACGCUGGCGGCGUGGAUAAGACAUGCAAGUCGAACGGGGAAUUUUUGGAGCUUGCUUUGGAAAUUCCUAGUGGCGAACGGGUGAGUAACACGUGAGUAAUCUGCCCUGAAGUGGGGGAUAGCCUUCCGAAAGGAAGAUUAAUACCCCAUGUGAUAGUAAUAUUAAAGGCGGUCAUUUAUUUGGCUGUCGCUUCAGGAUGAGCUCGCGGCCUAUCAGCUAGUUGGUGAAGUAAUAGCUCACCAAGGCAAUGACGGGUAGCUGGUCUGAGAGGACGAUCAGUCACACUGGAACUGAGACACGGUCCAGACACCUACGGGUGGCAGCAGUCGAGAAUCAUUCGCAAUGGACGAAAGUCUGACGGUGCGACGCCGCGUGGAGGACGAAGGCCCUAGGGUCGUAAACUCCUGUCAUCAGAGAGUAAAUGCUUAGUUAGUAACUGAUCUAAGUCUUGAUAGUAUCUGAAGAGGAAGGGACGGCAAACUUCGUGCCAGCAGCCGCGGUAAUACGAAGGUCCCAAGCGUUGUUCGGAUUUACUGGGCGUAAAGCGUCUGUAGGCGGCAUGGUAAGUCAGAUGUGAAAUCCCGAGGCUCAACCUCGGAACUGCAUCCGAUACUGCCAAGCUUGAGUAUUGGAGGGGAGUCUGGAAUUCUCGGUGUAGCAGUGAAAUGCGUAGAUAUCGAGAGGAACACUAGUGGCGAAGGCGAGACUCUGGACAAUAACUGACGCUGAGAGACGAAGGCCGGGGUAGCGAAAAGGAUUAGAUACCCUUGUAGUCCCGGCAGUAAACGGUGUGCGCUUGGUGUAGGAGGAUUCGACCCCUUCUGUGCCGGAGCUAACGCGUUAAGCGCACCGCCUGGGGAGUACGGUCGCAAGAUUAAAACUCAAAGAAAUUGACGGGGACCCGCACAAGCGGUGGAGCAUGUGGCUUAAUUCGAUGCAACGCGAAGAACCUUACCUGGGCUUGACAUGUUAGUCGUAGAUUUGUGAAAGCUUAUCGUCACUUCGGGUGGACUAUCACAGGUGCUGCAUGGCUGUCGUCAGCUCGUGUCGUGAGAUGUUGGGUUAAGUC